rnacentral:rRNA from 1 species
GACGAACGCUGGCGGCGUGCUUAACACAUGCAAGUCGAACGGAAAGGCCCUGCUUUUGUGGGGUGCUCGAGUGGCGAACGGGUGAGUAACACGUGAGUAACCUGCCCUUGACUUUGGGAUAACUUCAGGAAACUGGGGCUAAUACCGGAUAGGAGCUCCUGAUGCAUGGUGGGGGUUGGAAAGUUUCGGCGGUUUGGGAUGGACUGGCGGCUUAUCAGCUGGUUGGGGGGGUAGUGGCUUACCAAGGCUUUGACGGGUAGCCGACCUGAGAGGGUGGACGGCCUCAUUGGUACUGCGAGACGGCCCAGACUCCUACGGGAGGCAACAGUGGGGAAUAUUGCGCAACGGGCGGAAGCCUGAUGCAGCAACGCCGCGUGCGGGAUGACGGCCUUCGGGUUGUAAACCGCUGUCGCCUGUGACGAAGCGUGAGUGACGGUAAUGGGUAAAGAAGCACCGGCUAACUACGUG